UAGACCUGAAUGGCUCCAAGCACCUGCACGCUGAUACGCAGGGAGGACUCCUGCUCCAGCCACAGACCUUGGUCUUUCAGCAGUCUCAGAUGUGCUCCCCAGCCCAUCAUUAAAGCAUCACAGUACAGCGUGGACAUGCCCAAAGAAGAAAAUGCCCAUUGAUGUGUUCCUGUCCCACUUUGUUGCCAACGAAUGGCCACUUGAAGCUUCUAUAGGAGGAAGUUGCCUACCUUUACCCCUGGACUCCAAUCAUCUUGUUUAAGUUUAAACUCUUGCACAAAUACCUUACCAGCAAAUGAAGAAGCACAUCUUUGAGGAGUUGUAACUGUUUAUCAAGAG